rnacentral:misc_RNA from 1 species
GAUGAAGAACGUAGCGAAAUGCGAUAAGUAAUGUGAAUUGCAGAAUUCAGUGAAUCAUCGAAUCUUUGAACGCACAUUGCGCCCGCCAGUAUUCUGGCGGGCAUGCCUGUUCGAGCGUCAUUUCAACCAUCAAGCCCCAGGCUUGUGUUGGAGCCCUGUGGCUGCCGCAGCCUCCCAAAACCAGUGGCGGGCUCGCUAUCACACCGAGUGCAGUAGUUUACUCUUCGCUCAGGGCGUGUGGCGGGUGCUAGCCGUAAAACCCCCAACUUCUCAAGGUUGACCUCGGAUCAGGUAGGAAUACCCGCUGAACUUAAGCAUAUCAAUAAGCGGAGGA